rnacentral:rRNA from 1 species
UACGGAGGGUGCGAGCGUUAAUCGGAAUUACUGGGCGUAAAGCGCGCGUAGGCGGCUUCGUCAGUUGGAUGUGAAAGCCCGGGCUCAACCUGGGAACUGCAUUCAAUACUGCGGAGCUAGAGUAUGGUAGAGGUGAGUGGAAUUCCAGGUGUAGCGGUGAAAUGCGUAGAUAUCUGGAGGAACAUCAGUGGCGAAGGCGACUCACUGGACCAAUACUGACGCUGAGGUGCGAAAGCGUGGGGAGCAACAGGAUUAAGAUACCCGGGUAGUCC